CGAGGAUCCAAGCGUUAUCCGGAUUUAUUGGGUUUAAAGGGAGCGUAGGCGGCCUUGUAAGUCAGGGGUGAAAGACGGCAGCUUAACUGUCGCAGUGCCUUUGAUACUGCAGGGCUUGAAUACACUAGAGGUAGGCGGAAUGUGACAAGUAGCGGUGAAAUGUAUAGAUAUGUCACAGAACACCGAUUGCGAAGGCAGCUUACUAUGGUGCAAUUGACGCUGAGGCACGAAAGCGUGGGGAUCAAACAGGAUUAGAUACCCUGGUAGUCCACGCCCUAAACGAUGAAUACUCGAUGUUAGCGAUAUACAGUUAGCGUCAAAGCGAAAGCGUUAAGUAUUCCACCUGGGGAGUACGCCCGCAAGGGUG
rnacentral:rRNA from 1 species